GGGCCCGCACAAGCGGUGGAGCAUGUGGUUUAAUUCGAUGAUACGCGAGGAACCUUACCAGGGCUUAAAUGUAGUAUGACCGGCUUGGAAACAGGCCUUCUCUUCGGAGCAGAUUACAAGGUGCUGCAUGGUUGUCGUCAGCUCGUGCCGUGAGGUGUUAGGUUAAGUCCUGCAACGAGCGCAACCCCUAUUCUUAGUUGCCAGCGGUUCGGCCGGGGACUCUAAGAAGACUGCCAGCGCAAGCUGAGAGGAAGGUGGGGAUGACGUCAAAUCAUCACGGCCCUUACGUCCUGGGCUACACACGUGCUACAAUGGUAUCUACACAGGAAGCAAGACUGCGAGGUCAAG
rnacentral:rRNA from 1 species